rnacentral:rRNA from 1 species
GACGAACGCUGGCGGCGUGCUUAACACAUGCAAGUCGAACGGAAAGGCCCUGCUUUUGUGGGGUGCUCGAGUGGCGAACGGGUGAGUAACACGUGAGUAACCUGCCCUUGACUUUGGGAUAACUUCAGGAAACUGGGGCUAAUACCGGAUAGGAGCUCCUGCUGCAUGGUGGGGGUUGGAAAGUUUCGGCGGUUGGGGAUGGACUCGCGGCUUAUCAGCUUGUUGGUGGGGUAGUGGCUUACCAAGGCUUUGACGGGUAGCCGGCCUGAGAGGGUGACCGGCCACAUUGGGACUGAGAUACGGCCCAGACUCCUACGGGGGGCAGCGGUGGGGAAUAUUGCACAAUGGGCGGAAGCCGGAUGCAGAAACGCCGCGUGCGGGAUGACGGCCUUCGGGUUGUAAACCGCUUUAGCCUGUGACGAAGCGUGAGUGACGGUAAUGGGUAAAGAAGCACCGGCUAACUACGUG